GUCCAUGGACCACCGGUUGGCGACCGUUGAUAUACACAAUGCCCAAGAGGUCCAAUCCAGUGGUGAUACUGUCUAAUAUGUUCCAUAAACUCUGGCAGGAAAUGUACUAAAAUAGCAUUUAUUAGCAUUUGUUAAAUCACCUACAAACCAGAUCUUUGUGGGGUUUCUCACUUUAAGAUAUGAAUGUGUCAGAUAAAUUUUUAAAAAUACAUAAUAAAAAAUGAAUGUGUCCAUAGACGUUUCACUUUCUACCUAACAUCACAGCUUAGCCACCAUCACAGUAUUUCUCCAAGGGAAGCGGCAGUGAGGGGAGACUCAAGAGAUUAUCUCAAUUUGUUAAAGAGGUCAGUGGGUGAAACCAAGGCCCCUUUGGUCAUGUGCUCCCUCUCCAGUUUUUUUAGCCAGGGUGAUUUUUUUCUCCAAACAGGUACCAAAAUACAGCUCUUCAUGAAGCAACUCUGCUUGGCAUGGCAGGAAGGGAGUGUAUCGCUGCUUUACUGGGAUGCAAUGCAAGCAUCCGAAAGAAGAAUAUUAGAGGCCACACGCCCCGUGACCUGGCUCUGACAAUUGGGGAUGACCUCAUCACCUCGCUCUUUGCUGCUAAGCUGGGCCUUGAUGACUAUUAGACGCUAGGGCCUCCACGGAGCUUCACUUAAAGAAACCAUCCAGCUCUGGCGGUCCUUUGCUUGUUUCCUUCUGAAAUGUGUAUUUGAGGUUUGGUAAUUGUGGUUAAGAUGAACUCAGAUGUUUUUGUCUUUUAAUUAUAUGACAGUGGAAGCAUGGGUAUUUCCUAAUGUGAUGGUGAUGAACUUGAUGCAUGUCUUAUUGCUGCUUGUUUUAGAAUUUCUUUUUCAAUAGAUAAUAAUUGCACAAAGUUCAAAGCUAAAAAGUAUGAAGUGUUGUGUAGUGAAAAAUCUGCUUCCCAUCCCUGUCCCUCAGCCACCCACUUCCCCUCCUCAGAGGUAGCCAGUGGUAGUAUCAACUGUGUCUUUCCAGAAAUAGUAUAGGACUGUAUAAGCCAUGUGUGUAGUGUAUGCAUGUGCAGGUAGAGUAGGCAUGAAUACAAAUAUAGAUAACACACACAUAUAUUAUCAGUGUCUGGUGAUAUCCCCUCUUGUGAGACAAGUAGUAGUGAACUACACACUGUCCCGUCUUGUUCUUUUGCUUAAUGUGUCUUGUAGGUGGUUCCAAAUUAGUAUAUAAA